rnacentral:misc_RNA from 1 species
CAGCUCACCUUAAAUGAAUUAGCUGGACUUGUUUGUGAGGACUGGUUUGACUUGGCGUAAUAAGUAUUCCGCCAAGGACAUUGCUUUGGUGAUGGCCGACCUCUCGAUGAUUGUCUGUUUCCUAACUCGUCUUAAGUCUCGUGACUUUGACACUUUUAUGACCUGGCCUCAAAUCAGGUAGGACUACCUGCUGAACUUAA